rnacentral:tRNA from 1 species
UUUUUAUUAUUUUUAAUUGACAUAGACCAAGUCUUCUAGUAAAAUGAGGAUGA